ensembl:lncRNA
CUCUCAGAGCAACUUAAUCGUGCGUACACUUUAUCAGGUUUGCGAUACAAAUGCAUUAGGAGGAUCCCGUGCCUCUUUCAUUAAAGUAGUUGGGGAAAUUGAUCCCGCCCCCUUUCAGGAGUAAAAAAAAAAAGAAGCGAUUAUUUCUCCUCUCGCCGGGAGAGGGUGAGGGAAAGACUCGGCCAGGAUUGUGGGAACGAGCAGAAUCAGCCCUCAACACCGUCAGCUACAGACGUCGUCCACGGCUUCAACCUUCCCCUCCUUCGCUCCGACCGGCACUUCACACACAGGGAGACCAAGCGACAGACAGUCCGCUGCUGCUGCCUGCUCCUCAACACGCUCCUGUCUGACGAGUGACCCAAUAGUUUUUGAAUGACAUUAUUAAUACACACACGCACACUUUUGGUUCGGUCUGUCGACGUCCUCUCUUGAGUUGGGUUCCUGGAUUUAAGAUCGUCUUCUUUGCACACAUUCACAAAGUCCACCAUCCCCAUUCAACCCCAGAGCCGAGGCUUCAACGAGGUGACAUUCGCGUGGAAGGCACCGCCGGGGGAGCAGCGUGUAGUAUCUCUCACUUCCAGGGGACAAGAGUCCAUGCAUACCCAACAUCUCAGGGCCUGCAUGUUACAUCCUUCCCCCAGUAGCGAGAUCCCUCCCUGGGCAGUGACAGGCCAGCUCCCUGGGGCAACGCAAACAGGAUGGGAUUACCAUCGAGAGUGUGAGAAAAUCAGUGUCCAGAGUCACGCCGAAAAACACAUGCAACCGUUACUAUGCUGAGCCUUUGGUGACACGGUCAUAUGCACAAAUAUAUAUAAAUAAAUAAAAGGUACUGUUGUUUGUAUAUUCAUAUCAUCCUUUUUAUUUCUACUAUUUCUACUGUUAAAACCAUUAACAUUACAAAGGGUUCAACAUGAGCUCUGCAUCUUUUUUUUUAAGCCCCCCCCCACUGCGUGCUAUGGUCACGGGGCACGUUUUCUUCUUCUUUGUUCUUUCUCGUCUACGUGGUGAGAUGUAGCGCUCUUAUUUCCUCUCUCGUCUCAGACAUGUGCCAUGUGAACAGCGGUGUGAGUGUUAACAUUCUCCCCGAGAGCAUUCCUCCCCUCCACUGAUUUACUCACACCCGGCUCUCACUUUAACUCACGACGCGACCACGCUCCAACUUUCCAGCGGUGUAGUGAGAAAGGCGUUUCCCAUCCGUCUCGGAGGGCCUAUACCGCUUCGCUUCUACUAGAGAAGCAGUAUUUCAUUUAGUUUCUUGGGGACGUUUUUUGUGCUGGAAUUAUUUUACGUCAUACUGAAAUAUGAUGACCUAAUCGUUGCAGUGCGCAAUAUGCUUAUUCAAAAUAAAAUGCGACGUUUCAUUUCAAAUAAGUAGCAUUUAGUGGGUGAUUUGGCAUUUUGCUGACUCCCAUUGUGUGAAGACGCAAUAAUAACAGCGCGUGUUUGUUAUUCUUCUGCCUUCUGAUCCCAAGUCGCCCAGGGCCCCGUUUCCCUCCAUUCUUCACUUUGAACAACUUAACCUCUUGUCGUCAUUAGCUGUCUUUUGUCCGUUAAGCCGAGCUCCAACCCCCCGCGGUGUGGAGGAGUCUGACUGGUAAAGCGUGGAGACGGUAGUACGCAUGCAAAGCCUAGGUAAUUCUAUUAGCCACCAGCAUCAUCCCUUCCCCGAGUCCUGCACCGGGUUAUUGUCCACCUGCUAAAUGAGUGGUGCUCGGCAACAUGGCCCAGAUAAUAGUGUUCUUAUAAUCAUAUUAAGAGGGACUGAGAGAGAGAGAGAGAGAGAGAGAGAGAGAGAGAGAGAGAGAGAGAGAGAGAGAGAGAGAGAGAGAGAGAGAGAGAGA